GUUUUGUUAAGGAUUUCCUGGCGUUUUGCUUCAGCUGGAAGGCAGACUCCUUUUAACUCCAGUUACAGUCAGAUAUGUCAGCUAUUUCCUUUUCCAGAGAUGAAAAAGCCUGGGCACAGGUAUUAGCAGCACAGGGAGCAAAGUGGUGGCAUCCUGGCCAGAUUCAACCAUGCUUCUGGAGGCAUUCUCUUCUGCAGACAAUGAUUUUGUCUGAGACAACAGGGUGGAAAGACAGAGCCAACCACUGCACAGAGAAAAGGACAGCACAGGGAGCACAGGCAGGAGGGGUGUCCAAUCCUGAUGCAAGCACUGUCCCAGGGACAUCACCACAUUGCCAAGCCAAGAAGGCUCCAGGCUGGGCAAGAG